UGCGUGUGGCCUGGGUGACUCAGGCCACCGUUCAGGGAUUGCUGAUGAUAGGUUUGACUUCGAUCCAAGCUCUUCAAAAUUGCUAGGAGGAAAUGGGAAGAUCUGUAGCAAAGCAUGAGCAUUUUGCUGAACCGGAUUCUUGAUGUGUACACUUCGAGGUAAGGAACUUGAUGGUAGAAUGACAUCCGUCCUGCCAAUUUUUGACGGUACC